UUGGCUAAGUCACACCUUGUCUAAAAAAAAAAAAAUCAAAACAAAAAGGAUGGCAAGAUGUGACUUCCGUGAGCUCUACUUAUGUGUGUGCGCGCGCGCGCGCGUGCAAGUGAGUGCAGUGCCUAUGGAGGCCAGAAGAGGGCAUCAGAUCUCCUGGAGCUGGAGUGACAGGCAGCUGUGAGCUGCUUCAUAUAUGUGUGAGGAACUGAACUGGAUCCCCGGGAAGAGCAGCAAGUGCUCUUAGUGUGGAGCCAUCUCUCCAGCCCCAAAGACAUGACUUCUUAAUGGGUAUAGAGUUUCUGUCCAGUGUGAAGGGAAGUUCUAGAACUACUGAGUAGCUAUGGUCACAUAACGUUGUGAACGGACUUCAUGCUAUCGCGCACUCUGAACUGGCUAAAAUGGGGAAGUCCAUCUCGAGAGUAUUUUGCCACAAUUGAAAAACUCCAAAUGGACCCUGGCCCUUGAAGUGAAAAUGACAUAGAAGAACAGAGUGGGAGAAGAACAUUUUUUUCCCUAGCCCAUCUAGGUUCCUAAGUAGAAACUUCCCUCCCGUGGACUGAGACCCUGAGUCGCCGCCUCUACCUGUAUGCAGAGGUUCCACAGAUGCACAGUACCAUGACCAGCUCUCGGCUCACAGUUUUGAAGAUGAGGCACAAAUUGUUUUUGUCGUUCUUUAUCCAAGGGGCAAGAAGUUCAUAAAGAUUGUUGCAGAAGUUGGAUUUGCAUCAAGCUUGGUUUUGGAACUCCGAAUCAUUCAGAGUGUGAAAAUUCUCCAGCAAGCCGGAGAUGCGACCCUGUCAGCACAGUGCUUGUUUGGCUUCCCCAAGUCCUCGGGUUCAAACCUCAGUGGUCCAUACACUUGAGUAAGGAAUGUGGACCCCAGGAGGACAAGAUGUUUGGUCUGUCUUCACUAAUCUAUCUUCAGAUCAGGCUCUGGCAUACACGAGGCCGCCAAUAAAAUUAAGUGAACCUGUAGUUAUGUCUUGGGUUGUCCUGUCUCCGUCUCAGUCUCAGCCCCCUAGACCUGCCACCGGCCUCUGUUUCCUGGACACUGAGCCUCCCCCAGGGAGCAGGACUUGUCUGGCAUCUGCCUGCCUCGGGGCCUUGAGAAGAUCCUGGUUGUCUGACCUUGUGUCCCUGCCAAGUUGCCAGCAUGUGUGAAAUGCUAAAUUCUAGCUUAUUAUUAUUGAUUUUGAGAGCUAUGCCAAGAGGGCAAAAGGACAGCAAACGAGGAGAUGGAGGGGACACAUGGAUGGACAAUCAGAGUUGGGAAUAAAACGC
rnacentral:sRNA from 1 species